AGAGGAUGAACUGACCUUGUACAAACUUAGCCAACCUCAGCAAUCUCCUGCCAGAUGUGUGCUUCAUUAUUUAAGUGAUACCACACUGUCAGACUCCUCCUGAAAUGAAGUGGACAUGCCAAUGCAGCGUCUGGUCCUCAGAUCCUUGGUUCCUAGCAUGGACAGACCUGGAAGUCAUGUCAGCCAUGAAGGUCAAUGGACAUAUCUGUGAGGAUGUGGCUGCAAGUACUAGGAGAAGGAGAAAGCAUUAAAACCUCUUCUCUCUGAGUGUACAUCUAUAUCCAGAGGAUGCUUCAGAAAUGAUGGAUUGAGGCAACACAUAAUGACCCGUUCCAGUCAGGAACUGAGACAGCCUCAAAGGGAGUUGCCGAUGAGAUCUAUGGAAUGGGAUGUGUUGAACAGCUCAGUCCUAAGGCGUUUGCCUUGAUGGCUGUGUGAAGCCAGUGCUCUCACUUAGCAGCUACCUCAUUUCUGGGACAGGAUGUUUCAUUUCACUGGACGGAUUUCUCCACAACUGAACAAGCACCAAGAAAAUGUGGUCUGAUGAAGAUUUACCAUCCCCUCCAGUCUCAUGGACUUUGCACUGCUCGUAGUCCUGGUGGUUGCUUCCUAAUGUCAACUUUCCAUUAACCUUAAAAUCUCUUACCUGUGUUUGUUGUUUUUAUCUAAGUACUUAAGUAUCUCUCUAACUUAACUCUCUGUAUUCUAAUACCUAUCUCAAAAGAAAUGUGACCGUUUAUUAAAUAAACAUUGUAUGGAACUUCUUUGUUGCU